GGAGCCAUCCUUGAAAUACCACCCUUUAAUGGCUGGUGUUCUAACGUGGGCCCGUGAACCGGGUUGCGGACAGUGUCUGGUGGGUAGUUUGACUGGGGCGGUCUCCUCCUAAAGAGUAACGGAGGAGCACGAAGGUUGGCUAAUCCUGGUCGGACAUCAGGAGGUUAGUGCAAUGGCAUAAGCCAGCUUGACUGCGAGCGUGACGGCGCGAGCAGGUGCGAAAGCAGGUCAUAGUGAUCCGGUGGUUCUGAAUGGAAGGGCCAUCGCUCAACGGAUAAAAGGUACUCCGGGGAUAACAGGCUGAUACCGCCCAAGAGUUCAUAUCGACGGCGGUGUUUGGCACCUCGAUGUCGGCUCAUCACAUCCUGGGGCUGAAGUAGGUCCCAAGGGUAUGGCUGUUCGCCAUUUAAAGUGGUACGCGAGCUGGGUUUAGAACGUCGUGAGACAGUUCGGUCCCUAUCUGCCGUGGGCGCUGGAAGAUUGAGGGGGGCUGCUCCUAGUACGAGAGGACCGGAGUGGACGCAUCACUGGUGUUCGGGUUGUCAUGCCAAUGGCACUGCCCGGUAGCUACAUGCGGAAGAGAUAAGUGCUGAAAGCAUCUAAGCACGAAACUUGCCCCGAGAUGAAUCUUCCCUGAGCCUUUAAGGCUCCUGAAGGAACGUUGAAGACGACGACGUUGAUAGGCCGGGUGUGUAAGCGCAGCGAUGCGUUGAGCUAACCGGUACUAAUGAACCGUGAGGCUUAACCUU
rnacentral:rRNA from 1 species